AACGAAUUACUACUUAAUCGUAACUGUUGUGGCGUGAUGCUUGAUUGUGAACCUAAUAACAUAGAAAUACUUAUUGGAUUAUACCUUCGAUGUCAUUCUGUGAUUUAUUUUAGUAUGUUAAUACCCCUCAUGAUGUUUAUUUUUUGCGAAUGUGUGCAUUUGGCCGGAAAACAAUCUGACAUUCCACCUUGAGAUGUUAUUUGAGAGUUGUUCCGUCCUUAAAUGUAAAGCAAGGAUUUAAAACAGUGUGAGAAAAGGUUAACAUUGUCGCCUAUGGGAAAUGUAUUGGUGGACUGUAUACCCCAUAUAUAUUGAGUACGUCUAUUGGUUCAUGGUGAUACAGGAAAACUUCAAGGUUCCUGCAGAUGGUGUUUAAAACUAUUGGCCAGUGAACACAAACCCAUUUAAUUAUAUUUUGAACCUUCACCAGGAGAAAAAAGAUGGCAGUACUUCUAAUGCAAGCAGCUACUAGGGAAGAUUUAAUGAAGGAAGAUGAGGAAGUGGAGAAAAAGCUGAAGAACAAGGAGGACAAGGUGAAGAAAGGACAAGGGCACAGUGACUUGCAGUGUGUGUCAUGUAACAUUAUUACAACAUCUAUAUCAUGGGUCCAUAAUUUUGAGUAAGUCAUUCAUCAACCACUUUAUCUGUACUGGAAACCAUUUCUGAGAGGGAUGAAGUGAUGGAAGAUAAUGAGCCAGAGGGUGGAACGGAAGAGAAAGGGAAAGAAAUAAAGAAAAAGGCAGAAUGAAAAAGGACUAGAACUUGCAAUAGAAGAAAAAGUUGAGGAAAUGAAGAGGAAGAAAUUGAAGAUGAAAAGAAGAGCUCUUGGAG